rnacentral:rRNA from 1 species
UACGUAGGGUGCAAGCGUUGUCCGGAAUUAUUGGGCGUAAAGAGCUCGUAGGCGGUUUGUCGCGUCUGCUGUGAAAACUCGGGGCUUAACCCCGGGCCUGCAGUGGGUACGGGCAGACUAGAGUGCGGUAGGGGGGACUGGAAUUCCUGGUGUAGCGGUGAAAUGCGCAGAUAUCAGGAGGAACACCGGUGGCGAAGGCGGGUCUCUGGGCCGUAACUGACGCUGAGGAGCGAAAGCGUGGGGAGCGAACAGG